GGCUUAGAGUUUGAUCCUGGCUCAGGACGAACGCUGGCGGCGUGCCUAAUGCAUGCAAGUCGAACGCAGCAGGCGUGCCUGGCUGCGUGGCGAACGGCUGAGGAACACGUGGGUAACCUGCCCCGGAGUGGGGGAUACCCCGUCGAAAGACGGGACAAUCCCGCAUACGCUCUUUGGAGGAAAGCCAUACGGCGCUCUGGGAGGGGCCUGCGGCCCAUCAGGUAGUUGGUGUGGUAACGGCGCACCAAGCCAAUGACGGGUACCCGGUCUGAGAGGACGACCGGGCAGACUGGGACUGCGACACGGCCCAGACUCCUACGGGAGGCAGCAGCAAGGAAUUUUCCCCAAUGGGCGCAAGCCUGAGGGAGCAACGCCGCGUGGAGGACGACGGCCUUCGGGUUGUAAACUCCUUUCGGGUGGGACGAGCCUGACGGUACCACCAGAAGCAGCCCCGGCUAACUCUGUGCCAGCAGCCGCGGUAAGACAGAGGGGGCAAGCGUUGUCCGGAGUUACUGGGCGUAAAGGGCGCGCAGGCGGUGGGCUGCGUCGGCGCUGAAAGCGCCCCGCUUAACGGGGCGAGGUGCGCCGAUACGAGUUCACUCGAGGCAAGCAGAGGGUGGCGGAAUUCCGGGUGGAGCGGUGAAAUGCGUAGAGAUCCGGAGGAACGCCGGUGGGGAAGCCGGCCACCUGGGCUUGACCUGACGCUGCGGCGCGACAGCGCGGGGAGCAAACCGGAUUAGAUACCCGGGUAGUCCACGCCGUAAACGAUGCCGGCUCGGCG
rnacentral:rRNA from 1 species